rnacentral:misc_RNA from 1 species
GGACUACAAGGGUUUCUAAUCCUGUUUGCUCCCCACGCUGUCGCGCCUCAGUGUCAGCCAUGGCCCAGCAGGCCGCCUUCGCCACCGGUGUUCUUCCGGAUCUCUACGCAUUCCACCGCUACACCCGGAAUUCCACCUGCCUCUACCAUGCUCGAGCAACACAGUCCGCACGGCCGACCCGGAGUUGAGCCCCGGGCUUUCACCGCACGCUUAUGCCGCCACCUACGCGCCCUUUACGCCCAGUGAUUCCGGACAACGCUCGCACCCUCCGUAUUACCGCGGCGGCUGGCAC